rnacentral:rRNA from 1 species
UACGUAGGGCGCAAGCGUUGUCCGGAUUUAUUGGGCGUAAAGAGCUCGUAGGCGGUUCGGUAAGUCGGGUGUGAAAACUCUGGGCUCAACCCAGAGAGGCCACCCGAUACUGCCGUGACUGGAGUGCGGUAGGGGAGUGGGGAAUUCCUGGUGUAGCGGUGAAAUGCGCAGAUAUACAGGAGGAACACCCAUAGCGAAGGCAGCUUGCUGGGACGUUACUGACGCUAAGGCGCGAAAGCGUGGGGAGCGAACAGG